rnacentral:tRNA from 1 species
GCCUGGGUGGCUCAGUCGGUUAAGCGUCCGACUUCAGCUCGGGUCAUGAUCUCAGAGUUCGUGAGUUCAAGCCCCACGUCGGGCU